rnacentral:rRNA from 1 species
GCGCACGGGUGAGUAGCGCGUGGGAACCUGCCCGCUUGUGGGGGAUAACCGGGGGAAACUCCGGCUAAUACCGCAUACGCCCCGGCGAAAGCCGGGGGAAAGAUUGAUCGCAGGCGGAGGGGCCCGCGUCGGAUUAGGUAGUUGGUGGGGUAACGGCCCACCAAGCCGAUGAUCCGUAGCUGGUCUGAGAGGAUGAUCAGCCACACUGGGACUGAGACACGGCCCAGACUCCUACGGGAGGCAGCAGUGGGGAAUAUUGGACAAUGGGGGCAACCCUGAUCCAGCAAUGCCGCGUGAGUGAUGAAGGCCUUAGGGUUGUAAAGCUCUUUCGGCGGGGACGGUGAUGACGGUACCCGCAGAAGAAGCCCCGGCUAACUUCGUGCCAGCAGCCGCGGUAAUACGAAGGGGGCGAGCGUUGUUCGGAAUCACUGGGCGUAAAGGGCGCGUAGGCGGUCGUGCAAGUCGGGCGUGAAAGCCCCGGGCUCAACCUGGGAACGGCGCUCGAUACUGCAUGGCUUGAGUUCGGGAGAGGAGAGUGGAAUUCCCAGUGUAGAGGUGAAAUUCGUAGAUAUUGGGAAGAACACCGGUGGCGAAGGCGGCUCUCUGGCCCCGAGACUGACGCUGAGGCGCGAAAGCGUGGGGAGCAAACAGGAUUACAUACCCUGGUAGUCCCACGCCGUAAACGAUGUGUGCUAGACGUUGGGGAGCCUACCUCCCUCGGUGUCCCACUAACGUUUUAAGCA